rnacentral:lncRNA from 1 species
AUUUAAUUCCCCUUUUAGAACUUUAAAAUUAUUCUGGGAUUACCUGUGUGGGACGGGUGCUAGACCCCCUUGCCCAAAUUAACUGAUCAGAGACAUCUUCAGGUACCAAGAGAAAGCAUUUAUUUAAUCCCUGCAGGGAAAGGCCCAGCACAUCCAGGAAGCAUCCUAGCUCCCAACCUGUGCUUAUCGACCUGAUCAGCAGGAAACAACAGCUGAUAUGAUUGUUUGAUGGAUCAUCAAGCCAGUAAUACACCAUCUGAAAAGAAUAUGCCACAAGUCACUCAGAUGAAUGUGAUGCUGAAUUGUUACAGAUUCACAGUUCAAAUGAGAAUCAUGGAUAUGAUGCUAAAAAGAAGAUUAAAGAAUCAUCUAAUCAGUCUUAAUUUUUGAGGUAAGGAAACUAAGGACUAAAAAGAUGAGUAAUUUGUCAAAGAAAAGUUAGCAGCAGAACCAGGAAUA